UGCUAUUGUAAGGAUAUUGUGAG
rnacentral:misc_RNA from 1 species